UGGAAAACAUUUUAAUAAUACAAAAACAACAACAAUUAUUACCAUAAUGAUUAUGAUUAGGAUGGUUAUUAUAAAUCUCCCAAUAAACAUCAAGUUGUUCAACAACAAUUUAAACAUUAACAUGAAACAUUCAUCUAAUAGUAAACCAUUAACUUGACCUAAAUAUUAUUUCAACUUAAAAUCUUUUCUAUUCAUUGGUUCACUACUAUUUGAGAUGUGAUUUACUGUAACCAAUCAUGAUGAUAAUGACCCAAAGAAAGGAAAGCAAGAAAAAAGGACGAAGAUGGACAAGUUGAAGAAGGAGAAAAAAAGAGCAAAGAAAGAAAAGAAGAAAAGGGAACAAGAAGAUAAAGAUGGACAAAAUAAGGAGCAAAAAGGAGGAUGACAAUGUUAGCGACAAUAAAAGAUGGAAGAGCAAAGUCGCCGUGCAGUCUGGCUAAGCAUCAUUUUCUUAAGACAAGUUUACUCAAGAAAAAGAAAGAAGACCAAGAAAAAGAGAUUCUUAAAGGUCUUUUUUCAAUACAUUCCAUGGCGAAAUGACAAUGAAACAUUCUUAGAGAGGUUGAAAUAUUUCUUUUCGCCUUUUCUUAGCCUUACCCGUGAGCCUGGACAUACACUCAACAAAACAAAUCACAAACAAUCAGAGAUUCUGUGAAAUGCGUUAAUGACGUUUACCUGACACACCUAAUAGGUAAAUAAAGUGAAAGAGAAAGAAAGAUGGACACACAAAAAAAAGGCAAACCGAAAGUGGACAUUAAAGUGGGCAAAGGUUAAAGACAAAUACGACGGAAAGAGUACAAGAAUGAGGAAAUAGCUGCAAGGUCUAGUGAAAAAAGGAGGAGGAGGAGGAGGAGGUGAUGAUAAAGAUAAUGAUUGAAGAAGAAGAAGAUGACCAGGAUGACCAUGAUGAUAAAAGUCGGCAAAGCAAGAGAAAGUUGUAGUCGUGUGGACUCUUUUUUUACCCUUCAUUUUGACACAGCAUAUAAUAUUUUUGCAGUUUUGUUUAAAAAAGGUUAUUGUUGGUGGUCCUUAGCUUGUUGUUUGUUGUGAUAAUUUCACUUUGAAACUGAUUUCUGUUUUUUUUUCUUGCUUCAACUUUUUUCUUUGGGUCAUUUUAUUGAAAUGGCUUUAUAACUUGUUAAUAACAAUGAAAUGCUAUUUAAAUUGCUAAUAAAAAAUGCCAGAAUAGCCAAUGUUUAACUUACCCAUUUCCAGCAAAAUAUUUAACAUAAU